CCGAAAAGGAAAACAAUAAAAAGACCUAAGGAUAUACACACUGAUCAGUCGUUUUUCCCCAUUCUUUUCCACACCCAUCGUCUCUUUCACUUGGGCAAAAAUAGAGGAGAACCCCAAGAACCUAAGUAGAAAAAAAAGUCUGCGCAAAAAAAGAAAAAGAAAAGGGUCAGCACCUCAUCUCACUCCAUCUUCCCACAGGCACGAAGCUUUAACACCAAAAAUCACAUGAAACUUUACUUUGAGGCUUCUCCUUUUUUGUCCCAUUAAGUGACUCGGUAGUCGCCUCUCCAUUUUCACUCUAUGGAUUACAUAUUUAAUGUUUUGGUUUUGAAAUCAAAAUGAGCUACGAUGAUUGAUAAAUUUGUGUGUAUUGGUUCAUAGUUUUGAGCUUACAAAUUUCAAAUAUGUUCUUGAAAGGAAAUGGAAGAUGUUUCGCUUACGUUGAAUUCUUCUAAUUCUUUGUUUAGCUCAUGUUGAGAUUUCAUAAAUCCGAUACUUUGUCUUCUUAAAAUUCCAGUAAAUCCAAACCAAGAAAAAAAUAUAUAUUGUGUUUCUUCCUUCCGAUUGGACUGUGAUUUCCAAAUAUGGAGUUUUACUGUGAUGCUAUUGAGGUGAGUCUGAGCUCGGUUCAGCGAGUUCAGCUCGUCUGCGGUUCUGCUUCGGAGUUCGUCAACUCUGUUUGAGGGAGGGUUUUUUGUUACACAAAAGUUUCAAAAGAAAAGUUUGUCCCCUGCUAUUGUGCUAUUCUCUAAGAAGUUAUAACAGGUUCUUUUCUUUUGCUCUAUGUUUGCUAGUUUCCUUUAUCAAGCAUGAUGGUGUCCAUGAUUAUUGGUAUUUUACUUCCCGGAUCAAUUAUUUUGUUUUGCUUAGAAGUUAGAUUUGUGUUUUCCUAAAUGAGCGUAUAUCUUUCUUUAAUCUAUUUUAUUUUGUAGAUUAAUAACUAUGGUGGCUAAUCUUUUAGUUUCAGUGCUCACGUGUUUAGAUCUUCUGUUUUCUUAUUAUGUUCAACUUUGCUAAAGUAUUGUGAGUGAAUGAAUGAAUGGGAUAUGGAGUAAUUUGCAAAGUUGUUUUCAUGGUAUUAUCGUGAUGGUGUACACAUUCGCUUGAUAUAAUUACGAUUCUAAAAUAAAUCGAGGUAUGCGUUCGUGCAACUUAGACCAAAAUUUUCUUAAAAUAAUUAAUAAAGCGUGAUUAGUUGUGGACACGUACGCAUGACACGAUUUUGACGCGCCGAACCAAAUGAUUACACGUACACGUGACUCGUUUCAAGAUAAUUUUCUUAAAUAAAAAACGGUAAAAGGUAAAUGCACAUAGGGUCUAAAAUAAGUAAUUAGAUAAUUUGAUUAAGCCAAGUAUGAUCAAAGCGACCGUGCUAAAACCACAGAACUCGGGAAUGCCUAAAACCUUCUCCCGAGUUAACAAAAUUCCUUACCCGGAUUUCUGUGUUCGCAGACCGUAAAUAGAGUCAACUUCCUUAAUUUGAGAUUUUAAACCGGUGACUUGGACACCAAUAAACUAUCCCAAGUGGCGACUAUAAUUUUUUAAAAAAAAAUAAUCCCGUUUUGAUUGUCACUUAAAUUGGAAAAAACUCCCUUACAUCCCCUUUUCGAGGUUAGUAAAAAGGAGGUGUGACAGUUGUGAGGUGGCUUGAUUAUUUGCAGGGGUGUUGUGAUCCCGUGUAGCUUGUGGUGUUAUGUGAUCAAGAUAGCUCUCGAGACGAAGAUCAUUUAUUGCACCCUAGUUGUUCUUGGGUUUUGUGAUGUAUGGCGCUAUCCGUUUCCCCAGGGUUAUAUUUUUGCACUUGGUGUGCUUGUG
rnacentral:lncRNA from 1 species